AUUGAACGCUGGCGGCAGGCCUAACACAUGCAAGUCGAGCGGAUGAAGGGAGCUUGCUCCUGGAUUCAGCGGCGGACGGGUGAGUAAUGCCUAGGAAUCUGCCUGGUAGUGGGGGAUAACGUCCGGAAACGGGCGCUAAUACCGCAUACGUCCUGAGGGCGAAAGGGGGGGAUCUUCGGACCUCACGCCAUCAGAUGAGCCUAGGUCGGAUUAGCUAGUUGGUGGGGUAAAGGCCUACCAAGGCGACGAUCCGUAACUGGUCUGAGAGGAUGAUCAGUCACACUGGAACUGAGACACGGUCCAGACUCCUACGGGAGGCAGCAGUGGGGAAUAUUGGACAAUGGGCGAAAGCCUGAUCCAGCCAUGCCGCGUGUGUGAAGAAGGUCUUCGGAUUGUAAAGCCCUUUAAGUUGGGAGGAAGGGCAGUAAGUUAAUACCUUGCUGUUUUGACGUUACCAACAGAAUAAGCACCGGCUAACUUCGUG
rnacentral:rRNA from 1 species